UACGUAGGUGGCGAGCGUUGUCCGGAUUUACUGGGCGUAAAGGGAGCGUAGGCGGCGAUUUAAGUUGGAUGUGAAAUACCCGGGCUUAACUUGGGGAUUGCAUUCAAAACUGGAUUGCUAGAGUGCAGGAGAGGGAAGCGGAAUUCCUAGUGUAGCGGUGAAAUGCGUAGAUAUUAGGAGGAACACCAGUGGCGAAGGCGGCUUUCUGGACUGUAACUGACGCUGAGGCACGAAAGCGUGGGGAGCAAACAGG
rnacentral:rRNA from 1 species